AUGUGCUCGCCUUCACACUCUUCAUCCACUCAACCCCUGUGCACUUUAUCAGAGUUAGUAAUAGUAUUGUGGUGGCGGCCAUUUGUUGUUAUUCAUUGUUAGAAGCGGGGGUAACCCUGUCUGGCAAUAGUAAUGAUAAUAAUCUUGGUUCUACUACUACUACUACUAUGAACACUUUGACUUUUAUUUAUACAAACACUUUGCUUGUUCUUGUGAAUGUGUAAUGCUCCUUGUGAGCGAAAUACAAAUAUACAACUUUCAACAACGGAUCUCUUGGCUCUCGCAUCGAUGAAGAACGCAGCGAAAUGCGAUAAGUAAUGUGAAUUGCAGAAUUCAGUGAAUCAUCGAAUCUUUGAACGCACCUUGCGCCCCUUGGUAUUCCGAGGGGCAUGCCUGUUUGAGUGUCAUGUAAUUCUCAAUCCUCUUCUUCUUAACUGAAGAAAAGAGGCUUGGACUUGGAGGUAUACACAAGCUGGUACUGUUUGGUAUGGCUCCUCUCAAAUACAUUAGCUGGACUGUAGUUCGCAUUGUUUGGUGUAAUAGUUCUAUCUUAUUUCACUACAGUGCUUACUUAGACGGGUCUGCUUCUAAUAGUCCGCC
rnacentral:rRNA from 1 species